rnacentral:rRNA from 1 species
ACGAACGCUGGCGGCGUGCUUAACACAUGCAAGUCGCACGGAAAGGCCUCUUUCGGGGGGUACUCGAGUGGCGAACGGGUGAUUAACACGUGAGUAACCUGCCCUUGACUUUGGGAUAACUUCAGGAAACUGGGGCUAAUACCGGAUAGGAGCUCCUGCUGCAUGGUGGGGGUUGGAAAGUUUCGGCGGUUGGGGAUGGACUCGCGGCUUAUCAGCUUGUUGGUGGGGUAGUGGCUUACCAAGGCUUUGACGGGUAGCCGGCCUGAGAGGGUGACCGGCCACAUUGGGACUGAGAUACGGCCCAGACUCCUACGGGAGGCAGCAGUGGGGAAUAUUGCACAAUGGGUGGAAGCCUGAUGCAGCAACGCCGUGUGCGGGAUGACGGCCUUCGGGUUGUAAACCGCUUUCGCUCAUGACGAAGCUUUGUGUGACGGUAGUGGGUAAAGAAGCACCGGCUAACUACGUG